GGAAGAGUCCAGGAAGAAAAAGAUGAACUCCAAGCAAAACUGGGAAAAAGAAGGAGAGAUUCUGAAAAAG